GAACACCUUUUCUGCAUGUUCCUCUGUCUAGCAGAGAAGAUAAAGGAAGGACUGGAAACUCCAGCAGCUGCUGUCUUUGGCUCUGGCUUGGAAGACUUCAGUUUGGGUUGGGAAAACGCUGAAGAGUGCUCCUUAGCAUUUUCAUGGGUCAAGCUGGUCUCAAACACCUGGUUAUCCAGACAGGCUCCUGAGUGCCGAAAAGAUGAUACAACAGUAUUUGCCAAGGCCUGGAGGGUGCUGGAAGUGGUGCUGAGUAGCAGUUUCCUCCUGGAUCGAAACAUUCCAUCUCCCAGGGAAGCUUCUUAAGGCAGAAAGUAAAUAAAAUAUCUUCAGGAAGUUCCUGAAACCGGCCAGAUUUUCAAGGCUUCUCCUCAGAGUAAACCAUAGAGUGCUGAGAGUCACUCUCAGAAGAAAUAACCUGAAUAGAUAAGACGGAGACCAGAGCAGCAGUCUGGAAGAAGCAAAAACCAGCUGAGCUGUCUGGACAAGGUUUCAAACAACAGAGCCCCCUGGAACGGACACUUAACCUGUGGAGCUGCCUUCAGGCUGUGCAGUGAGCUUCAGGUGUCCAACUUUGAUGAGUUGUCACUCAUUCUGGGUGGGCUUUGAGUGACAAAGACUGUGAUGUAGCUGUCUUUGGGUCAUUUAUGCUCCUGUAAAUGACCUCUCACCAAUUAUGCUACAAGUAACCCCAAUAAAACUGAUUGGUUCACCAAAUUGGACUUUGGUGGUAUCUGUACUUUGGUCUGUUUUGGACUUCCGAUCUGGGUUAAGUUAAAUGUGUUUGUGUUGCAUUUCCUCAGCAAAAGUCAUAUAACAAAUGGGAG
rnacentral:lncRNA from 1 species